rfam:Calypte anna contig31890, whole genome shotgun sequence.
GUUUGGGUGAUGACUUCAGAUCUUUGUCGGAUACCCCUUCACUCUUGUGAGUGAGAACAGCAGUCUGACAAAC